CUCCUGCCUCAGCCUUCCAGAGUGCUGGACUUACAGGCCUGCACCACCAGGCCCAAUUUACAAUUUCUUUUUCUUUCUUUUUUCUUCUUUUCCAAUUUCCUUUUUAUAUUUCAUUUUUCAGUUUCCAGUGCUGAGGGUUGAACCCAGGCCCUUGACCAUGCUAGCACCAUGUGUCACACGGAGGGAUCAUGGUUUAUUCAGGGGCUCAUCGGCUGAUGGACAUUGUGCUGUUUCUACCUUAUUGUGUGAAGGUGGUGUAUUUUGUUUUUGCCCUUCAUUAGGUCCCUGUGGAAAUGAUUCUCAGGGGUGACAGUGACACUCGUAUUCAAUGCCAAUUUAAAAAGGAUAAUCAGUGUCCUGAUCUCAGAGGCAAAAAUGUGUGAUUACACAAGCAACACACACGGAAGGCCCAGAGCAAUGCCUGGCACAGGGCUAGGCACCG
ensembl:lncRNA